rnacentral:lncRNA from 1 species
AAAAAAAACAAAGAAAAAUCAAAGGAGAAGAGGAAAAGAAAUUAGGGUUUGGAGUUUAGGAUCUCCGUCUGAGUUUCUUUUUGGUUCGACGUAAGAGCUCCUCUUUCGAUUUAGUUCGUCAUACAGGUUUUUAUUUAAUUCCUAUACCAUUACUUUUGUAAAUUUGGUUAUGAAUCGAAGCAUGAAUGAAGGAGGUUAUUCUAAUGGCUUGUUAUAUUAUUUAGUAGGUGUAGUGUAUUAUUUCUAUGUAAUUUGCUCUAUGUUUUCAUUUAUAACUUGUUUGUCAUUUUGAAAAAAAAAAUGAAGUUAAUUAGAUUUUGUUUGAAUUUUAAAUGGGAUAAUUUUUAAAUUUAUUAGCGUUAAAAUAUGUAACGUUACACUCGGUUUGCGUGUGAUUAAUGUAGUUGCGUUGUAAACUAAAAUUUU